rnacentral:rRNA from 1 species
UACGUAGGGCGCAAGCGUUAUCCGGAAUUAUUGGGCGUAAAGAGCUCGUAGGCGGUUUGUCGCGUCUGCCGUGAAAGUCCGGGGCUCAACUCCGGAUCUGCGGUGGGUACGGGCAGACUAGAGUGAUGUAGGGGAGACUGGAACUCCUGGUGUAGCGGUGAAAUGCGCAGAUAUCAGGAGGAACACCGAUGGCGAAGGCAGGUCUCUGGGCAUUAACUGACGCUGGAGGAGCGAAAGCAUGGGGAGCGAACAGG